CUCCUACCGAUUGAAUGGUCCGGUGAAGUGUUCGGAUCGCGGCGACGUGGGCGGUUCGCCGCUGAGCGACGUCGCGAGAAGUCCACUGAACCUUAUCAUUUAGAGGAAGAGAGAAGUCGUAACAAGGUU
rnacentral:rRNA from 1 species